rnacentral:rRNA from 1 species
CUACGGGUUGCUGCAGUGAGGAAUAUUGCACAAUGGGGGGAACCCUGAUGCAGCAACGCCGCGUGGAGGAUGACGCAUUUCGGUGUGUAAACUCCUUUUAUAUGUCAAGAAAAUGACGGUAGCAUAUGAAUAAGCACCGGCUAACUCCGUGCCAGCAGCCGCGGUAAUACGGAGGGUGCAAGCGUUACUCGGAAUCACUGGGCGUAAAGGACGCGUGGGCGGGUUGGAAAGUCAGGUGUGAAAUCCUACAGCUUAACUGUAGAACUGCACUUGAAACUUCUAAUCUAGAGUAUGGGAGGGGGAGAUGGAAUUAGUGGUGUAGGGGUAAAAUCCGUAGAUAGCACUAGGAAUACCUAAAGCGAAGGCGAUCUCCUGGAACAUUACUGACGCUAAGGCGUGAAAGCGUGGGGAGCAAACAGGAUUAGAUACCCGGGUAGUC